rnacentral:misc_RNA from 1 species
GAUAAAGAACGUAGCGAAAUGCGAUAAGUAGUGUGAAUUGCAGAAUUCAGUGAAUCAUCGAAUCUUUGAACGCACAUUGCGCCCCUUGGUAUUCCAUGGGGCAUGCCUGUUCGAGCGUCAUUUGUACCUUCAAGCUCUGCUUGGUGUUGGGUGUUUGUCUCGCCUCUGCGUGUAGACUCGCCUCAAAACAAUUGGCAGCCGGCGUAUUGAUUUCGGAGCGCAGUACAUCUCGCGCUUUGCACUCAUAACGACGACGUCCAAAAGUACAUUUUUACACUCUUGACCUCGGAUCAGGUAGGGAUACCCGCUGAACUUAAGCAUAUCAAUAAGCGGAGGA